AACUGAUACUACCUGCGGGAACCUGCGGAAGGAUCAUUACUGAAGUGAUUUGGGGAUGUUGCUGGCCCUCUCUCAGGGGGGGGCACUGUGCACUCCUCGAAACAAUUCACAAUUUCCAUCACACCCCUUGUGCACACCUUGUAGGCACCCAAACCCACCUCCGGGUGGUGGGGUCCUAUGUAUUCCUUCAUCUCACACUCUGUUGAAUGGUGCCAUGGGACGCAUCUAAAGGAUUAUUUG
rnacentral:misc_RNA from 1 species